rnacentral:rRNA from 1 species
UACGUAGGGCGCGAGCGUUGUCCGGAAUUAUUGGGCGUAAAGCGCUCGUAGGCGGCCUGUCGCGUCAAUUGUGAAAGCCCGGGGCUUAACCCCGGGUCUGCAGUCGAUACGGGCAGGCUAGAGUGUGGUAGGGGAGAUCGGAAUUCCUGGUGUAGCGGUGAAAUGCGCAGAUAUCAGGAGGAACACCGGUGGCGAAGGCGGAUCUCUGGGCCGAUACUGACGCUGAGGAGCGAAAGCGUGGGGAGCGAACAGG